AACGAACGCUGGCGGCAGGCUUAACACAUGCAAGUCGAACGCAUCCUUCGGGGUGAGUGGCAGACGGGUGAGUAACGCGUGGGAACGUGCCCUUCAGUUCGGGAUAACCCAGGGAAACUUGGGCUAAUACCGGAUACGUGCGAGAGCAGAAAGAUUUAUCGCUGAAGGAUCGGCCCGCGUCUGAUUAGCUAGUUGGUGGGGUAAUGGCCUACCAAGGCGACGAUCAGUAGCUGGUCUGAGAGGAUGAUCAGCCACAUUGGGACUGAGACACGGCCCAAACUCCUACGGGAGGCAGCAGUGGGGAAUAUUGGACAAUGGGCGCAAACCUGAUCCAGCCAUGCCGCGUGAGUGAUGAAGGCCUUAGGGUUGUAAAGCUCUUUCGUCCGGGACGAUAAUGACGGUACCGGAAGAAGAAGCCCCGGCUAACUUCGUGCCAGCAGCCGCCGUAA
rnacentral:rRNA from 1 species